rnacentral:lncRNA from 1 species
AGCUGGGUGCAUUUCUGUUAUUUUUGAUUUAAUUAUCAUGGAUGAAGAAGACAGCGGUUUCAUGGGAGGAAAUGGCACUGCGGCAUGUUCUUGGAUGGUGUCACUCGUGUGUGUGAACCUCCUCCAUGGCUACUAACCUCAAAUAGUUCAUCACGUGCCUUGAAUUGGCGUGUCUUGGAUUCGUUUUUCAGUGACAUCUCUUUGAACUUUAGGAUUUCGAAAAACUAGAGAUAGAGCAAACACGUGAAUCGUGUGUCAUGUCAUUUGUCAAUACUACAAGAUAGCAAGGAGGCGCGCUUUUGCACGUGCAAACAUAUAAGCAUGUGCUCUGGAGAGGAUAAAAUUAUCAUACCAAAUUCCGUACAAAUAAAUUCUAUAUUAAUCGCAUUCCUAUGAAUUGAACAAUAGAAAGAAAAUAUUAAAGAUCGGAGUGCUCCAUUCAUUUAGUUCCUUCGACCAGCUGCACGAUGCCGCAAAGUCAACUACUGCUGCACACAGGCUCCGUCGUCAAGCUGAGUUCACCGGUAACGAGUGGAAGCUCCUUAUCGCCAUAGAUAUCUACAUUCUCAGACCUCUCUCGUCCACCGCCGCGGCCGCUGCCCUGCACCCGUGGACCACGUGGGCACAACGUCCUGGCUGGUCCAGGCCGUGCUGGAGAAGUUCGUUAGCGACGACCUGGAGAAGUUCGUCGGCUGCGGCGCGCGGGGCCGACCCCAACCCCGACCCAGAGGCAACAUCCACCGGCUCUGCUCCGGCAUGUAAGGAAUCCCCCUCGCCCUCUCCGCAACCCAGGAUGGUGUGCCCAGGGCACGCAGCGAAGCCCUGCUCGGCUCUAUCAGCCGCCUCCAUGGGCUCGCCAAAGACGCCGACAACCGCUUGAUGCUCUACCACCAGAUCCAUCGCCAACUCUAUUCGGAUGAGGAUAGUGACACAUCGGCAGGUUUUGAGGUGAGCUUAUGAUCUGUGAUGGGCGACUAGAAAUGUUCUGAGACAAAAAACUGCAGUUUUGAAGGUAUAGGACUAACUUGACACACUUAAUAGUUAUACGACUUAUGAUGCAAUUUGCUCCACUUUGCAAAGCUUCAUCACAACAUACUAGCCCAUUGUUGAUGGCCGAAAAUCCCCAUCACAAAAUGGUUUGAGGCCCCGUUCAGAUGCGUUCUGUCUGUUCCUGACAUGGACGACUGCUCUGAUGAAAAAUUACAUAUCCACGGUUAAGCCCCCUGAAGCAAAAAAUGGUGUCCGUCAGGCUCUUCAACUUGUAGAAGUAUAGUAGAUGCACAUGUUUCACGUGAGAUCCUACUGUUGCUAGGUGGUAUCCCUCAGUGACGGUUAAUAUCCAUGCUCCGCUUGUCAGUUUGGCAAAAAUGGAACUUUCCUGAUUAGACGUUGUCAGGCCCAAAUGUUCAUGCAUUCUUACGUGUGACAAGAAAGAGAAACAAUUCGUAGCACUAACAUAUUAUACUCAUGACUACAUGCAUGGCGACCGGAUGAUCUUGGCGUGUAUAUAUGCAGCCCAUCGCAAAGUGUCUUCCUUCCUCAAUUACCAAGUCUCUAACUUUAAAUGAAGGCAUGUAGUCCUGGACUCAGUAAUGGACUAGAAGACAUUCCAGUAAUAAGCUACCAGUACAAUUGUGAUGAGAUGUUGAAGAGAAACAAACAAACAAGCUGUUCUCCAAUAAGUUUGUAUUUAAUUAGCUUGCCUGGAUUAUGUAUUAAGUCAUCUUCUUGUCCGCCCUUGUAGUAAGGGAGCAGUCCCUAGGGAGGAAGUGGCGCGUGGGGCUGAAUUUGGAUGGCAUCCUCGCAUGACAACAACGGUCAUGGUGGUCGUCUCCCUCCUUGGCCUUCCACGAAUACCGGCGUCGUGGGAAGGUCAAGGUGCAAUUUAUGUGAGGACAUGAGCAUUAAAAUAUAACUGUAAUUCAGAGUUUCAGACAUGUACCUUUCACCUAGGUUCAAAACUAAUUUUGACUACCCAAGUUCGAAAUUCAGUUCACGGAAGCAUUGUACAUCAGCUUGGAAUGUACAUGGACUCGUAAGCGAUUGUACGACUUCUGCAUAAUUGACACAAACUAGUAACUUGGACCGGUUCCAUGUUCGAAUUGAUAGUUAACCAACUCAAUAAACUUUUCUACUUCAGCCCUAACACAUUUUUUUUGCGAAACUGAGCAUGGAUAUUAACAUAGUAUAAAGAUGACAAUUUUCUCCACCGUCAAUGUUAGGCCAUCUCUAGGGCUAGGAGCAUUGUCAUUAUUAUUAUCACGUGCAUGGUCUUGAUCAAGUGACUGAUUAUCAGAUGACACUUGUGGAUUUUAUAUAACAAACUUAUCUAUAUCUAGUUUCUGAGAUCGAGUUAAAACCUUGAGUUUUUGUUUCUUCGAACGCUUUUUAAUCAGAUUCAUGCUUUCUAAACAAAGAAAUGACUAAGAUCUUGCAAUACUACACACCUAAUAGAAAGAACAAAUUACCAAUACAAUAUUUUAGCAGAACUAUAGGGAAUGGAAUUGAAACAACUCACAGUAUUUUCAAAGUAUUCCCUACCUUUGAUUCAAAUUGAGCAAUAUGAUUAUGAAUCUUUUUUAUCUCUAGCCAUUGCAUAACAUGCUCCAAGGUUAAUGUUGUUUCAUUAAUAGUGAGAGCUGGUGAUCCCACUAAAUUUUCCUUGGCAUUGAGAGCAUCCGUAUUGCAACCCAUCAAGAAACUACCACCGUAAUAGUAUCAAGCACAAAUAUGUACCAAGUAGUGAUUGUUAGAGUAAUCCAAACACACGUGUGUUAGGUUUGCUAGUUUGGGCAGUGUAAUUGUGAUCAACUUGCUGGUGAUUAUUGUAGGAAUGUGUUUGAUGUCUUUGUGUUAGUAGUCUACGUGUUCAAGUAGAUUAGAAAAGCUUGUUGUAGUGGUUGUAUUAGCUGAGACCGAUUGGAAUCGGAAUUAGCUUGGUCGUGUCCUUUUUUUAGAAAAGGAGGCAACGCCCCGGCCUCUGCAUCGAGAGAUGCAUACAACCCUUUAUUAAUAAAAAGAAACCAGAUCCGGAACGAGUACAAUAAUGUUGAGAGUUAAGAACAAAAACGAAUCGAUACAAGGCGCUCAAAUCGCCCAAGCAGCAGAAGUAUAAUAAGUAGAUGUCUAGCCACCUAUCCUAUUAGCUUGCCGCCAUCCAAACCGGUUGAAGAUAACCUGUGCUACCAUCUCCCAGCGGAUACACCCAGUAACCAUAAGCUCCAUGGAAUCCGCAGGAGUGAGUAAUGACCACGUGCGGGUCAGUGCGGUAGCCCUGUAUAUUACCUGCAAAAAAUGUAUAGAUGUGCAUCUGUUAAAAACUAAAUCAUUCCUGCAGUUCCAAAUUGCCCAUAGUAAUGCGCAAGCUCCAACCCGGAUACUCUUUGCCAAAUGACCACCAACUCCCUGUACCCACGUCCCAAACAACGUAUUGAAACUAGUGGGUGGGGUGAUAUUAAAAGCAAUGUGUAUAGAACGCCAUAAGAUUUUAGCCAUCGGACAUUGGAAAAAGAGGUGCUUGAUAGUUUCCUUGUUGUCGCAAAAGUUGCAUCGCUGGCUACCCUUCCAUUUACGUUUAGCCAAGUUGUCUUUCGUGAGGAUAACACCUUUGUGAACGAACCACAUAAAGAUCUUUAUCCUCAACAGAACUUUGACCUCCCAGACAUGCUUUGAUCUUGGUAUGUACCCUGAAUCAAUAAGAUGAAGGUACAUAGAUUUUACCGAAAAGGAUCCAUCCUUAGUUAGCUUCCAACGAAUAGUGUCGGGCUGAUCCGACAGUUGUAUUUGCAUUAAUCUCCUAACUCAGUGUAGCCAUCUGGUCCAUCUUACACCGAUCAAAGAUCGACGAAACCUGAUAUUUAGAGUCGUGUUGCUCAAGACUGCCACAACCGACGCUUGUCUGCGUUGGACAAUAUUGUAUAUCCUCCCAGAAUCUAGUUGAUUCACCAUUAGCAAUGACAAACCUAGUCUGGUUAAAAAACACGUUCUUACACCUCAUCAAUCCUUUCCAAAAUGGAGAAUCAUUGGGUUUAACGGUGACCUGAGCUAAGGUCUUAUGUUGCAAGUACUUAUUCCUUAGAAUUUGCACCCACAUGCCUUCGGUUUCUACCGAAAUUCUAAACAGCCAUUUACUUAACAAGCAAAUGUUUUUAACCUCUAAAUUCUCCACCCCUAAACCCCCUUGAUCUCUAGGUCUGCAAAUAAUUUCCCAUUUAGUAAGCCUAUACUUUGUUUUCACUUCAUCACUUUGCCAAAAGAAACGUGACCGAUAGAAAUCUAACCUCUUCCUUACCCCUUUAGGUAACUCGAAGAAGGAUAAUAGGAACAUCGGCAUACUGGUUAAUACUGAAUUAACCAGUACUAGACGUCCUCCAUAAGAUAGAAGCUUUCCCUUCCAAGAACUUAGCUUCUUUUUGGAUCGGUCUACGAUGCAUUUCCACUCCUUGUUUGUCAGUUUCCGGUGAUGGAUAGGCACCCCCAGAUAAGUGAACGGAAAAGUCCCACACUCACACCCGAACAGUUGGUUGUAAGUAUGCUGUUCCUCCUUUGCCCUUCCAAAACUUUUGUCAAAGUCAAUCUUUAACCCAGACAACUGUUCAAACAAGCAUAAGAUAAGUUUCAUAUUUCAGGCCUUCUCUAAAUUAUGCUCCAUGAAGAUAAUGGUAUCAUCGGCAUAUUGUAAGUUUGAGACACCCCCAUCCAAUAGAUGCGGUACAAGUCCUCCUACCAGAUCAUUGUCACUAGCCCUCCUAAUCAUCAAGGCCAACAUGUCGGCAACAAUGUUGAAAAGAAUCGGCGACAUAGGAUCCCCUUGUCGUAGACCCUUCAGUGUCUGAAAAAAAAUGACCGACGUCAUCAUUCACUUUGAUCCCGACACUGCCUUUUUUAAUGAAACAGUCGAUAUGCUUCCGCCAUAACUGGUCAAACCCCUUCAUACGUAGAGUUUGGUCGUGUCCUAGUAGGAGUACUAGUCCGUACAAGUUAGUAUUAAGGAGUCCACGUCGGUGGUCUGAGUCGGGUCUUGCACCUAUAUAUACAUGGGUGUGUGCGUGAUAUUUUUAAUGUGAGUUGUGAAAAGCAAUAAAUAGAGGAAUUUAUAGGGUACGAGAUGUACACUUGUUUAAAGUUUUUUGUGCAUAUGCGUUCGUGUAUUUUGGUUUGAUCGAUCCUUGGGAAAAGCCAACAACUAAUAUAAAAGCAAAAUUGAGGUGAAGUUAUGCUUGCUCCGGCCUCACAAGCGCCUCAGGUGGGGGGGGGGGAUACAGAGUGAUGAGGAGAGCGGUCGACAUAGUCGUUGGGUGGUGCAGCAGCAAGGAGGAAUGGGAAAUAGUCGCUUGAGUGGCGACGUGAAGGAUCAUGCGAUAUAGCCGUUCGGUGGAGAGACAAGGAUAAGACAUUGAGGAUGUGGUUGCAAGCGAGGCGACGGGCGACAGGCUGUCCUCCACAAAGGCACUAGUGAUUGUUGAUGGUUAUGGAGGUGUGGAAUUGGCACCGAGUAGUUCAUUGAGAUUGUCGUUGGAGGGUGUAAGGUGGAUAUGGCGAAGUUGUGAGCCGUCGUCAAGGUGUGAAGGUGAGUUCUGUCUUGCUUUAUUUGAAAAAUAUCUCUGUCCGGACAUGUUUUGGUUGAUACUCCAAGUCCCUAUCUUUGCUGGUAUACACUGAGUUCGGUUUAUGUUCACCAGAUCUUGAAUGAUGUUACUCCUAGCUAGAAUCUGCUGCUAUAGUGUGUUCCAUAUAUUUGUGAGAUCUUGAAUUUCGACAUGAACCUACAAAUCAAAAUGCAGAUGCAGAGGUAGGUUAAGCUACACAUGUAGCUCCAUGUAAACCACCCUCCUCCUUACAAGACAACGUGAGAUCUACUCCCUUCGUUCCAUAAUGAAAGAGCAUUUUUACAUUAAUAUAGCAUAAAAACGUUUUUAUAUUAUAGGUCGUAGGGAGUAUCUAUCAGACAAAAAGAGGAACUAUCUUCUAUUGUAUUUUUGUUUUCUUUCUGUGCUUCUCAUGCACCUCCCUCCCGAAUUUUGUACUGAUUUUCAAGUCAUCCUUUUUUACCCCCUGGUCAUUAUAUAGAAAUGAAAGAUCUAGCAAGCAAGACAAUCUAGAUUAGUUGAGAUUCAAACGCCCCUGUGUGAUUUAAAAGGAGUAUGUCACUAGCAGUAAUAAAUAAAGAAUGGUAAUGGCACCCACAAACAGAAAAAGAUCCAAUGAAAAACAUAGUAUAUGUAAUCACGUUUGGGAUGAGUUUCUAGAUUAAUUCACCGUUUCUGGUAUCUGUUCGAUCCAACAACAUGGUGUGAAUGGAAAAGAUUCAAUUUCCCGAUAUUCAUUAGGAAGGAUGGAGUCAAAACUGACAUAAUCCGCCCCAUUUUCCACCUUGAAGCUAUUCAAAUGAUAGCUGAAUGCCAUCGCAAUUUGUUUACAAGUCUCUGAUCUUCUCAAAAAUAGAAUCUCUUUGUGUGGGUUAAAUCCAAGUAUCUCAGUGUCAAAAUAUACACCAGGAUACGCUUCAACCACGUCUUUUUUAUCAUCAAAAUCAUCAUUGUCGGAGUUCGAUUUAAAGUUCUCUUCAACUACUAGUUUCUUGUUUAUUUCUGGAAGAUUAGAACCAAAGAAGUCGUAGCUAGUUGAUGUCUUCUAAGAUCCAUUGUUCAUGAACUUAACUUUGUGAUUAAACGCUUUCAUAGGGUUAAGGUCAUAGUCAUGCUUCAAGAUCCAUUCGGUGCCAUCAUACAAUUCAGCGAGGAUAAAAACCCGAAUGUAUGCCGCACGAAAUGAUGCCAAAUACACCCCAUUUUCCUAUCUUCCUAGGUAAGGGUAUGCCAGACCCGUUGGUAGCUUAAUCACACUAUACUUAUCUUCAGACAAGGUACUCUGCAAAAUCAACUGUUGGCAGAAAAAUAUAAAAAAUCAUGUAACCGAGAUUUUGUUUAUUAAGACAAUAAACAUGAAAGGGUAAAUAAAGUUAUUAACGGGAAAACAUGUGUAUUUACCUCAUAACAAAAUAAUUUCUGCAGUGCACGUAAAAUGAUCCUCGCUAGUAGACCGAGUAGAGCCGGUUGUAACUGUAAUAGGGACGUGUCGUUGGAAUAGUCCCGCGACAUCCCCUUCUCGAGUAAAUUUCCUCUCCGACCAAUGACGUGUCCUUGAGGAGAAUACAUGCAAUAUAUAUGGAGAUGGCGGCCAUUGGGAUGCCUCCUCUAAAGGAUCAAACGUGCCUUUUGAGGAACUUAAAUGGGAACACAAACUCGGGAUCUGAAACAGCCGAUAGUGGGAUGACACUAUGGGAUCAAAGACUAGGUAAUUACAGAAGUAAACACCACGGACGAUGUCCCCAACAUGGCCGGGCGGGCACGAGGACAAUGGUAGAAGCAAAUCCUAGCAACGUGUGGAAGGGUUGACCACGUAGAUGCAUGGCACGCCUGUUAGGGUUAACCAGGUGGGUGCUAAGUAAAAGGAGGGCAUUGUAGUGAUCCUGGAUGGUGGAUUCGUCCGAUCCAUCUGUUAUGGUCGUCGAAGAGAAGUCAAGCUUGCCUCUGACCGUAGGCUGUACCGGCGAAGGGGGCGGGAGAAGAACUCGGGUAAGGGGAGCUCGGUGAAGGCGAUGCAGAUGGCACUGAAUGGGAGCUCCGUGCAAAGGAGGCCGUCACCAUCGAUGAUAGCACGCCAUGCCUUGCAGACGCAGCAAGAGACGGCAAGCCAACACGGUGCCACCAGGUGUCGUAGCACGUCCUCGAUGCACCGUGUUCCUCCUCUUUCGUCGUCUAGAUCUAUAUGUGCGCUUCCUGAUUGAUGACCUAAUUAAUACCAGCAUGGCAGACUGCCGAUACAUAUCUCAGCAGGAAGUUGGUCGUAUUGGAGAAGGAAACCUACAUGACGGAGGCCUCCUAUACCUAUACAUAUGUAUCUUGGACACUACGGGUGUGCAGUACUUAAAGCUAGCCCCUUGUUUGAUUGCAAACCAACCCGUGGUUUGAUGGUUACAAGGAUUGUGGUAUCCCCUGCCCACCAGAGAUUCAAAUCCCAGAUUUGACAUUGGUGCUUGCAUUUUUCUGGAUUUAUUCCAGACCUUUCGACGAUGCACCUUCAGUGAAAGGAGACAUUCCCGUCGACUACAAAGGCGUCGGGUGACGACACGGGGAAAGGCCGGUUGACGAGGUGGUGGAUGCAUGUUCUAUACUUGGGCUAUUGCUAGCAUGGAAUUUCCGAGUGCUAUUAUUCCAAGAGAAAUCACUUUAUGACCUAUCUUGGUCUUUUCUUACUUCCAAAACAUUUCCGCCACAUUCUUAAGUAAAUGAGAUGACACAAAUCUUUCAUUUUCUGUUCACUAAAUAAGAUUGUAAAUGCAGCGACAUGCUCCUGUAAUUAAACUUGAUGUCAGCCUAUACAUGCACAAAAUCCUACUUGCAAGACACAUACAUGAGUGAGAUAUAUCUCAAGCAAGCAAGCCAGAUGCUUGAGAUUCAUUCCAAACGCACUUGAGUGAUACUAGCGGGGUAUCGAGCAGCUAUAAUUGCUGAGAAUAUGGAGUUUAUUGCAUUUUUCCAAGGGAGCGGGGAAUUUCAGCAUGUGCAUCAUGGCACACAAUUAUUUUAUUGAACAUAAGAUGAGUCCAAGUCACUGAGUACAUAAAGUUUUACAUAGAAAUACAAUAAACGGGCCAGAAACAAGAUUACAGAGCUCAUCCACGUAAUGUGAUAUUGACAAACCAACCAAGCUGGUUGAACAAACCCACGCAACUAUUUCCAGACGGUUGGUUGCCCACGAACCCCUGUCGUGUCGACAGCCCGCAGUGAUGACCGUUUACGGAUUGUCGGUGCAUCUUUGAAGAUAGAUUGUAGAGGUGUCAACCAUGUUUGAGGCGGGAUCACAUAAUUUGGUUCAUUAGUUUAUUGUUCCUCCUAUUUUCAUUGUCCAACAACAUGGCGUGUAUGGGAAGGACCGAAUGUUCCGCUCAUCAUUAGCUAGACCAAUGUCAAAAUACUCAUAACCCGUUGGGUAUAUGCUACCUAACCUUUCAACCUUGAAGCUAUUCAAAUGAUAGGAAAAUCCUGUCGCAUUUAAUUUAUAGCUCGCCGACCUACUCAAAAACAGAAUCUCUUUGUACGGGUGAAAUCCAAGUAUGUCAAUAUCGAAACAGUGAUGGUGGCACGCUUCAGCAACGUCCUUGUUGUCAUGAAAAUCUUCAUUAUCAGAGUCCCAUUCAAAUGUAUCUUCAAGUGUUGUUGCUUCCUUCUUGAACUGUAAAAUAUGUGAGCUGAAUAAGUCAUAGUUAAUGUCUUCUAAGACCCAUGAUCCAUGACCAACUUGUGAGUCAAACGCCUCUAUAGGCUUAGGGUCAUAAUCAUGUUUCAGUAUCCAUUCCGCAUGAUUUACGUGAUUCAUCCAGGGUACAAACCCAUAUGUGAUUGCUCACAAAUGAUGCAAACUAUACAUCCUUCUCCGAUAAUCCUAGAUAAGGGUUCUCUCCGACACCUGUCAGUGGCUUAAUUACACUGUAAGUAUCUUCAGAUAAAGAUAUUCUGCAAAAUCAAAUCAUUAGCAUGAAACUUUUAUAGAUCUCAAUAAACUGAUGAAUAAUGCUUGCAUUAAGGAAAAGUAAUAAUUAUUGAAACGACGUGGAUACCUCAGAACAAAGUCAGUUUGGCAAUGCACGUAUAGUGAUCCCCGCUAGCAAACAGAGCGGAGUAUACUUUCACCUCCCAAAGACUUGCACAUCUUUGAAAUGGUCCCAUGAGCAUCUCCUUGUCGAACAAACAACCUCUCCUCCCAACAACUUGUCCUCGACGAGAAUACAUGGAGGACAUAUGGAGAUGGAGGCCACUCGGAUGCCUCCUCUAAUGGGUCACGCAUUUUGUUCAUGCAUUCGUGAUGGUAAAAGAAAGGGAAACAAUGUGUAACACAAACGAAAAUUACAUGCAGGGUGGAGAAAUGUAUUCGUGCCUACAUACAUGCAUGGCCACUAGAUGAUCCUGGCCUGUAUAUAUACAACCCAUUGCAAAGUGUCUUCCUUCCUCAUGUACCAAGUAAUAGUAAGUCAGCAAUUUCUAGCUUUAAAUGGAAGCAUGUAGUCCUGGACUUACUAAUGUACAAGAAGACAUUCCAGUUAUAAGCUACUACAAUUGCUAUGGGAUGUUGGAGUCAAACAAACAAUCAAGUUGUUUUGCGCUAGUUUUUAUUUAACUAGCAUUCAUGGAGUAUGCAAUAAGCUAUCCCAUCCACUGUCCCUCAAGUUGGAUUGUUGCACGCUCCCAUGGAGGUGGGAUCAUUGGGACGCUGUAACCGUUGUCGGACCGCCCAGAGAAAGAGUAGUCCCAUUCAGUAAAGAGGCGUGGGCAGAAGAAAUUGAAGAAUCCUGUUAGUUAGGCGGCCCCACAUGGCCAUGAUGGUUGGGUGGAAUACCUGCAUCGUUGGAAUGUCAAGAUGGAAUUUAUGUCCAUACAUGAGCAGAAAUAAAGUUGCGGUUCAUACAUGUACUUUUCACCUCGGUUCAGAACUAUUAUUGACCGCGCAAGUUGAAAAUUCAAUUCCAAGAUCAAUGUAUUUUACAUCAACUUGUAAUCUACAAGGUAUUCAUAAGGGACUGUUCAGAGAUUUGCAUAUUUGACUCCAAACUAGUAACUUGGACCGAUUCCAUCUCUAUUAUACUCUUUUUUCUUGCUAUCUGGUCAAUGGGAAGGGAUGCCUUUUUUUGUUUUUAGGUUCCACGUGGGUUUGGGUCAGAUGAGAUUUGGAUUGGAUAGUAGUAAGAGUUUUGAGCACCGUUAUCGUAUCAUAAUGAUUCAUGGUUCCAUUUAGCUUCCUUUUUUAUCUUGUUACAAUGAUUUGGAUUUGGUUUGGGUCAGUUGGUGUCGACGCCAUACCAUCCUUCAACACCUCCUGCAACUUUUUCAUCCUGUGAGGAGUCACCUUCAUCCUCAUCAAACUUGUAUCGACAAUCCUUUGCGGAGUGGUCGGGUUUCCCACAGAUUUGGCAUCUGAUGGCAUCGGGACAAGAGGUUUUGAAGAUGCAACGGCCCCUGUUGUUGGACGAGGGGGACGACCGCUGCCCCUAAUGCUGGGAGUUGGUGUUGUUGGUGUUCCCCGCAGGCUUGCCCUUGUUACGUGGCGUGCCACGGUAGAGAGACCCUCGACAGCUGCCAUGAGAGGCAACGUUUGCAGAUGAUUUGAAGCCGACGGCGUUGUGGAACAGCGCCACCCUCUGAUCAGAAGUGCUGAUGUGAGCAAAGAGAUCGUCGAGGGUGACUGGUUCGGUGCGGGCGUCGAAGGCCGACACCAGGGGCUGGUACUACAUAUCCAACCCUACGAGGAUGUAGGAGAUCGCUUCGUCGUCAUCCAAGGGCUCGCCGGCGGCUGCCAGCUCAUCAGCAAGCGGGCGCAUGUGGGCAAAGUAAGUGCCCACAGAUUGGGUACCCUUCUACGCGUAGGAGAGAGCAAUGCAGAAGUUGUUCACCAGCGAUCUGGACUGCGAUGAGAACAUGCUGGCAAGUGCAGUCCAGAGCUCGUUGGCCUUGCGGAUGGAGGUGACCUGAACAAGGACAUCUCGAGAUAGGUUGUUCAAGAGAUGUGCUUGUACCUGUUGAUCCUCCCUGACCCAGGCUUGAUGUAGAGAGUUCGGGACAGAAUCCUCUUUUCCAUCUUUGUCUUUGGUGAUGUUGCUCUUCGGUGGCUCCGGUGUGGAUCCAUCGGCAUAGCCGAAGACCCUGCGCUGAUGAGCUGUGGCGUGAUUUGCGCACGCCACUGGACAUAGUUUGUCUUGGUGAGCUUCUUUGUGACUUGCCCGUUGAUGACGGACAUUGGUGCGGCAGAGGAAGACGACAUGGUGGAGCAACGGAGGUGGCGAGAGAAAGUCUAGAUGUGAUGGUGGAAGAAGGCUCUGAUUACCAUGUAAGAUUUAGCUUAACGUAUUACCUCGUUAAAGGCGAUGGGUCCGUGUUAUAUAGGCAGGGGCGAACCCUGAUAUGCAUACAACUUGGAGAGGAAGAUUACAAAGAGAUAAGUACUAGGAGAAGGUAGUUUAAACAAUAGAAUCUAAAGUCCUCUAGAUAUUCUAGCUGCAUACGGCGGCUGAGCCUAUCUUCUCCUUGUGCAUCACGUCAGGAAGUUGGUUUAACAGCAGCAAGUCAUCUGUACCUCUACUAAUUAGACGCUUCCUAAUAAUUCCCACGUUAAUUAAAAAAUUAGAACCGUUCAUCUGGUAGGACCAAGUUAUUACGGUGUAGAUUAGCCAAUAGACCGUUAAAAAAAUUAUAUAGAUUGGCACCUAUACUAAUUAGAGGCUCCCUAAUAAUUUCCACGUUCAUUAGAAAAUUAGAGCCGUUCAUCUGAUAGGACCAAGUUAUUACGGUGUAGAUUAGCCAAUAGACCGUAAAAAAAUAUAUAUAGAUUUGCCAACGGAAAAAAAUCCUUUUUGGUUGCCACGUCUACAAUAAGUAAUGAAGAAAAAAAAUCCAAUCUAUACGUACAAGCAUAAAAUAAAAUUUGGUUGCCACGUCUAGAAUAAGUAAUAAAGAAGAAAAAAAAAGGAUCCAAUCUGUACGUACAAGCAUAAAAAAAAUAUAGCGAUGUUCUAGCAUAGAUAGCGUCCAAAAGAACUGCCCCAGCGCAUCCUCAUCCACGCCACGACCGCCGCCGCCGCCGCUGCAUCGCCUCCGUUUCUUUGGACGCCCAUGGACGCCCAGCUGAAGAUCAACUCCUUCCUGUCAGAAUAGAACGCCCAGUUGAUUGGUUUAUGCAACACGGUGCUAUCCUACAUCUGAUCCAACUUGACCCGAGCUUGGCCCCUUCUCAGUUCUUGGCGUAUGCACGGAUUAGAUGCCAGGCUCCUACCACGACAAGCAGGCUAAGCUCACAGAUCUGUUUUGUUGCAAAACUACGUACUUGAUUACAAUGAUUUCUCUCAAAAUAGCAGGUUAUUUGUCGUCUUGGUAAUUAGUUGAUAAAUGUUCUGUGCAAUCUUGCUCCAAUCUUUUAGUUUUUCACCAGCCUAGAUAUCUAUAUGCAGUUUUAGGUUGAAGCUGGCAGUCGAGUUAACUCUUUCUAUCAACUUUCCUGCACUAACUUAAGCACCAUUAUAAGUCUUUAUACUGAUCCUUAAACAAUAUAAAGUGCAUAUAUCAUCGUCUUUACAUGCGGGGUUCCAUACCACAUAAACUAGGUGGUGCUAUCAAUUUUUGAUCAACACAAACGAUUGUCUUCUUAAAUUCAAAUAUUCGGUCUGACUUCAUACUUUCUUCAGUCUUGGUAAUUAGUUAUGUGUUCUCUAAUUUUUAGAAAUAGAUACGGCUGAUCGGCACAAUUCUGCCCUCAACCCUCUAAUGAUCAGUCUUAAUCUGUUAUUUCAGGGAGCCAUCAUAUUUCUAUUGUUCGAGACUACUUGAUUCUUAUUUUUAAGCAUCCCCCUUUACACAUUCUUGCAUUCUUCUUAAUUCAUAAACAAGUUGGAGUGUGUGUAUAGGGAAGAUAUAGGGGGCACAACAUACUACGUACUGCUGAGAAAAAUGGUAAGCCAUCAAGAGCCAUCAACAGUAGUGUAUAAUACUAUACAAAUGUUUAACCGUGUGAAGAAUACUUUAAAGUGUUUGCCGAUAUUUGUAGGCUAAAACUAUGUACAAAUUAUUUCUUAUCAAUAUUCUCUCCAAACUGUAUGUGUUUAUUUCGCUUGGUUAAAGGCGUAAAAGUGUGUGGCGCUACGAUUUCUGGAGCAAGCCAGGGAAUUCUAUAUUUUGUUUGAUUUUUCGUCGGAUCUCAUCUUUUUAUUGGAUGUCUUGAGUAAUUGUCGUAUCAUGGGACACAUGUUUUACCCUGGCACCGAAACCUUCUAUCUUAUCCCGGAUGGGUAAAAUUUCUAAAAUUUUACGUUCAUAAAUUUGAUGCAAGAUGGACCUGCAUGAUAUUGCUUUGAGAUCAUGUAAAAUUAUGUUGUAUAUUGCAGGUUGUUUGAUGCUUGCAACAAAAACUAUAGCAAACAUGUAAACUUUUGAUGAUGGACGUUGGCUGCAACUCGGUUCCAUCCAUUCAUCUAAGUAACCUGUCUACGCAUAAAUUGACGUACAUAUGUAUUUUCAUCCCUGCAUAUGACAAAUAGUGUUACUUUCCACCGCAGCCUUUGAGUGUCACAUGGUUUCUAGAGGCUGCACUGUCUAUGCACAUAGACACAUCUUUCAUAGUGCACGUUGUUAGUUCACUAAUUAUAUAUGUAAUUUAAUUCAUCUUGAGUUACGGUUUGCAAGCUACAGCCAGAGAACCUGAUUUUGUCACUUUAAUCUUCAACGAGCAAAAGGGCCCGUGCGUUGCAACGGGAGAAAAAUAAUUAUAAUUUUUAAGGAUGCUGGUCAUAUUAUGUCCUUAAUAUUUUAGGACAUUUCUUGAAAUGCAUGAACAUUUUUUGAAUUAGCAAACAUUUGUUUCAAUUGCACUCAAAAAAUAAUACACAAUUUUUUUUCUCAAAAUCAUGGACUUUUAUUGUUUUCACCAACAUUGUUCUCAAAAUUAUGAACAUUUUUCUGAAUAUGGAAAUACUUUUACAAAUAUCCCGAGCAUUUUUUGAAUUCACAAACAUUUUAUGUUUUUUCAAAAUUCUAUUUCAAAAUUCUCAGUUUUAUAAGUUGCAAAAGUUUUUCAAAAGUCGAUAUUAUUUACAUUUUAAAAAAUGGAACAGAAAAUAAAAAUAAAAAAUGAGACUAAAAACAAAGGCACGAACUGUUUUUAAGAUUUUUAAACGGACUUUUGUUUAAAAUUAUUGACUUUUUUCAUUUUACAGACAUUUUCUAAAAAUUUAAACAUUUUUUUGUAUAUGCAAACAUUUUUCAAAACUCCUGAGUAGUUUUUGAUUUCUCAAAAAAAAUAUGUUUUUUAAAUAUUUUAUUUCAAAAUUCUCAGUUUCUUAGAUUUAAGAAAAGUUAUUUGAAGUUCUAAAUUACUUAUAUUAUAAAAAAUGGAACUGAAAAGUAAAAUAAAAACUAAACUAAAAGUACAGGCGGCCACGCAUGGGCCAGCCAAAAUAGGUGUGAUGCAUCUUUUUCCAAUUCCCAGAGCGUAAUAUAGGAGGUCCCUACAUGGGCCGGCCCAGUCCGGAGAUUUUCCUGUUUGAAACGUUUUCUAUGACUUAUAAGUGGCAAUUAUGGGUAAUUUUCAUCAAUUUUAUGAACAAUGUUAAUAACGGACGACAAAAGCACUAAUUGUUUUAUUAGUAAGUAAAGAUAAUAGCAGAUUACUAUUUUGCUGAUUUACCAUCAGUUUCAAGGAAGAAUUACAUUAUCUUUCCAACAUCGAAGUUCUAGAUAUCAUGGGGCUUUUGUUUAUGUUUGUUUGACAAUCUUUAAAUAGUUUCUGAAGUGAAACUGGCUCAAAGGGUUCGACAAUGGAAGUGUGAGGAUAUAGCUUCUACUGAUCGUCCGUUUAAGCCAAGUACAUGAAUGGUUUUUCAUAUGCUUGGAGCCUAAUGAAGCAAUACACGGAUGUAUGGAUCGUGGAGGUCACUUGGUACACGAUAUUGACGUACAAGCAUGGUCAAGGUGACGAUGAUGCACACAUCAUUUUGUAAGCCACGUUGCAAUAUUGGCAAGCACAUGAAGUACUCUCCAACAUGCAAGAAAAAUGGGCUCUCAAGAUGCAAUCAAAAAUAAUAUCACUUUGACAUUAUUUUGAUGCCUCACUCAUCGGUAUCAUUUACAUCUACUCUCGAGAAAAAAUGGUUUGUCUCCAUGAACUGCAUUAACCAUGUCAUGCAGGCAUAUAGAUAUGUAUACAUGCAUGUCGAGGUAUGUACUCAUUCUGAACCAAUAUUUAUCAUCGACGUAGCCUUAAUUAAUAUGCAUUUCCCACAAAAUAAAGUAUAUGCAUUAACUGAAGUAUAAGUUGGUUUCUAUAAGGGGUACAUCAGAUGCAAAUUCAUCAUGUCGUACAUGUUGGAGGGAGGAGGAGGGGCAAAAAUACAUGAUAUGCCUGUUCAUGAUACACACCCUACUCCCGAUUACCAUAUUUACUACAAGAUUUCUAUAAAUCCACAUUUUAUAUGUAGUUAGUAAAAUUCUCUUUAUGCAUUGCAAAAAAAGGGAAAAAUGGAUAUUUGAAGUUUCAAACUUCAUAUGUUUUCUAAUAUUUAACCUUUAUCACUACAUUUGUAUGAACAUAAAUCAUAAGAAAAUCAAAAAGUUAUUAUAGAAUAUUAUCAUGGAAAGUUACCUAAUAUUUUUUACAUUCAACUAACCUAAAUAUUUUGUAUGAGCAUUGUGAAAGAAGUAUGUCGUCGAGCUUCCUAAUAACUAAUCUACUUUAGAACAAAUCAAGGUUUUUAUGUGUAGCUCCAGCAUAAGAUAAAACUCUUGCUACAUGCAAUAAAGGUUUAGCGAGCAAAGGUGUAAGACCUAUUUUUUAUUUUUUGGCAAAAAUAGAUCUAUUAUAACGAUCCACUGGAUUCUAUAAUGUAAAUGUUAAGAUAUAGUUAGGGACAACAAUUGGUUGAAGCGACACUGUAUAUCAACACCCAAAGGGAUCAAAGGCAGAUCAAUCGGGUCAAUUAUGAGAUACUGUUUGACAAGUGAGUUGCGUAUUUGAAUUAUUAUGUUAAUCUUUCUUUACACAUAAUAGAUUGGGAUACAACAAUUCCAAGAUGAAAUACAUAGUUCUUUUAUCUUUCAGUAUGAGUGAGACAUUUAUUUUAUAUUACAUAACACAACAUCUGCUGAUAUGAAAAGUGCCAUAAAUUAUAAACAAAAGUUCCUAAGUCGGUCAACUAUUUAUAAAGUAACCACUGAUUUCUAUCAAGGAAAUAUAAACACAAAUUAUCUAGGGACAAAUUAAGCCGUUUCAUAUGAUCCAAAGUUGUCACAUAACUUUAAGUUAUCUAUGUCAAAUGUUAACGUUAUUGUGUAAUGUGUUAUCAUGCCUAAUUAAUUUGGUGCUCAUCCAUUAUAGUAAUGGUAGGAACCAGAUUUUUCUUAUCUCAAUCGCAAACAUUAUUCUCUUCACAAUAAAUUUGACCUCACCUAUGCAAACAAUAGAAAUAUCUAUAGCUAGCCCGUGCGAGCGCACGGGUGGACGACUAGUUAAAUUUAAUUAUAGUAAAAAAGCACAUUUUGUUCAUGCAUUCUUCAUGUGAAUAAGAAAGAGGAACACUGGAUAACACGAACAAAUUGCGUGCAAGGUGCAAUAAUAUACUCAUGAUCGACCACAUACAUGAGCAUAGGAUGAUCUUGGCAUGUGGUGUAUAUAUAGAGCCCAUGGCAAAGUGUCUUCCUUCCUCAAGUACCAAGCAGUAGCAAGUCAGCAGGCUAUCUGUUAAGAUGAAAGCAUGUAGUCCUAGACCGGAAGACCAUAGUGGACUGAAAGUCAUUUCAGUAAUUAGCAAUCGUACAGUGUCUGUAAGAUGUUGGAGCGAAACAAACAAGUGGGGUGCGUUUCUGUUAUUUUCGAUUUAAUUAUCAUGGGUCAAGUAGACAACAGUUUCAUGGGAGGAAAUGGCACUGCGGCAUGUUCUUGGUUGAAGUCACCCGUGUGUGAACCUCCUCCAUGGCCACUAACCUCAAAUGGUUCAUAUCUUCCUUUGAGUUGGCGUGUGUUGGAUUAGUUUUCCAGCGACGUCUCUUUGAACUCUAGGAUUUCGAAAACCUAGAGAUAGGGCAAACACAUGAAUCGUGUGUCAUGUCAUUUGUCAAUACUACAAGAUGGAAGGAGGCAUGCUUUUGCACGUGAAGACAUAUAAUUUCUUAAACAUAUUUCUUAAACAUAUAAGCAUGUGCUUUGGAGCGGAUAAAAUUAUCCUACCAAAUUCCGUACAAAUAAAUUCUAUAUUAAUCGCAGUCCUAUGAAUUGAACAAUAGAAAGAAAAUCUUAAAGAUCAGAGUGCUCCAUUCAUUUGGUUCCUUUGACGAGCUGCAUGACGCGGCAAAGUCAACUACUGCUGUAUACAGGCUCCGUCGUCAAGCUGAGUCCACGUGGAAGCUCCUUAUCGACACAGAUAUCUACAUUCUCAGACCUCUCUCGUCCACCGCCGCUGCAGCUGCCCUGCACCCAUGGACCACGUGGGCACAACGUCCUGGCUGGUCCAGGCGGUGCUAGAGAAGUUCGUCAGCGACGACCUCGACGAUGCGACGCGCGGGGCCGACCCCGACCCUGACCCACGCAGCGAGGCCCUGCUCGGCUCUAUGAGCCGCCUCCACGGGCUCGCUAAGGACGCCGACAACCGCUUGAUGCUCUACCACCAGAUCCACGCGAACUCUAUUCGGAUGAGGAUAGUGAACAUCGGCAGAUCAAUGUUUAGAGGCGAGCUUAUGAUCUGUGAUGGGCGACUAGAAAUGUUUCGAGACAAAAAACUGCAGUUUUGAAGGUAUAGGACUAACUUGACACACUUAAUAGUUAUACGACGGUAACUAGCUAUCGUACAGUGUCUGUGAGACAUUGGAGCGAAACAAACAAGCGGGGUGCAUUUCUGUUAUUUUCGAUUUAAUUAUCAUGGAUGAAGAAGACAGCGGCUUCACGAGAGAAAAUGGCACUGCGGCAUGUUCUUGGAUCACGUCGCCCGUGUGUGAACCUCCUCCAUGGCUACUAACCUCAAAUGGUUCAUCACGUCCUUUGAGUUGGCGUGUCUUGGAUUCGUUUUUCAGUGACGUCUCUUUGAACUUUAGGAUUUCGAAAACCUAGAGAUAGGGCAAACACAUGAAUCGUGUGUCAUGUCAUUUGUCAAUACUACAAGAUGGCAAGGAAGUCUGCUUUUGCACAUGAAAACAUAUAA